GCCUGCUACUGUAGCUCUCUGCAACUCUCACAUGGUCACCCACUAAAGUUAAGCAAGGCUGUGCCCAAUCAGUACUUGGAAGAGAGACUACAUGGGAAAGCUAGAUUGCUGCUGGAA
rnacentral:rRNA from 1 species